CCAAAGGCUCUGCUCAGAGCCACCGCAAGUGGCCCGAAAGACCAGU
rfam:Callithrix jacchus chromosome X, whole genome shotgun sequence